AUUGAACGCUGGCGGCAGGCCUAACACAUGCAAGUCGAGCGGUAGAGAGAAGCUUGCUUCUCUUGAGAGCGGCGGACGGGUGAGUAAUGCCCAGGAAUCUGCCUGGUAGUGGGGGAUAACGUUCGGAAACGGACGCUAAUACCGCAUACGUCCUACGGGAGAAAGCAGGGGACCUUCGGGCCUUGCGCUAUCAGAUGAGCCUAGGUCGGAUUAGCUAGUUGGUGAGGUAAUGGCUCACCAAGGCGACGAUCCGUAACUGGUCUGAGAGGAUGAUCAGUCACACUGGAACUGAGACACGGUCCAGACUCCUACGGGAGGCAGCAGUGGGGAAUAUUGGACAAUGGGCGAAAGCCUGAUCCAGCCAUGCCGCGUGUGUGAAGAAGGUCUUCGGAUUGUAAAGCACUUUAAGUUGGGAGGAAGAGUUGUAGAUUAAUACUCUGCAAUUUUGACGUUACCGACAGAAUAAGCACCGGCUAACUCUGUGCCAGCAGCCGCGGUAAUACAGAGGGUGCAAGCGUUAAUCGGAAUUACUGGGCGUAAAGCGCGCGUAGGUGGUUUGUUAAGUUGGAUGUGAAAUCCCCGGGCUCAACCUGGGAACUGCAUUCAAAACUGACUGACUAGAGUAUGGUAGAGGGUGGUGGAAUUUCCUGUGUAGCGGUGAAAUGCGUAGAUAUAGGAAGGAACACCACUGGCGAAGGCGACCGCCUGGACUAAUACUGACACUGAGGUGCGAAAGCGUGGGGAGCAAACAGGAUAAAUACCCUGGUAGUCCAAGGGCGAAUUCACAGUGGAUAUCAAGCUUAUCGAUACCGUCGACCUCGAGGGGGGGCCCGGUACUGACUUUUGUUCCCUUCCCGAUGUUAUUGCCGCUUGAAUAAUCAUGGUCAUGCUGAUUCCCAAUGGGUUACAAAUGAGCUGUCUCUGA
rnacentral:rRNA from 1 species